rnacentral:rRNA from 1 species
GACGAACGCUGGCGGCGUGCUUAACACAUGCAAGUCGAACGAAGUGGCGGACGGGUGAGUAACGCGUAAUCAACCUGCCCUUCAGAGGGGGACACCAGUUGGAAACGACUGCUAAUACCGCAUACUGAUGGAGGGGUUUGCGUCGGAUUGGCUAGUUGGAGGGGUAACGGCCAACCAAGGCGAUGAUCCGUAGCCGGUCUGGGAGGAUGAACGGCCACAGUGGGACUUGGGAACGGGCCAGACUCCUACGGGAGGCAGCAGGGGGGGAUCUUCCGCAAUGGACGAAAGUCUGACGGAGCAACGCCGCGGUGGUGAUGACGGCCUUCGGGUUGUAAAACUCUGUUAAUCGGGACGCGGUACCGGAAUAGAAAGCCACGGCUAACUACGUGCCAGCAGCCGCGGUAAUAC